rnacentral:tRNA from 1 species
AAAAAAGCCGGAAUAGCUCAGUUGGUAGAGCAGAGGACUGAAAAUCCUCGUGUCAA